GCAGGUUGGUACCUCAACAGUGCCCGCAACAUCUGUGAUCAAACUGCAGUUUUUGUUUGCAAAUUGCUGAGAAAGGAUUACGUAUCUGCUGCCAAUACUGGAGGAAUCUGAAUUACAACAGGGAAGGCAAUUGAUUGGUGUUUGCAGAAUAGGCUGCUUGUCAAAAUGCUUACGUGAGCACUGCUUGUUCUCCAACAUGCUAAUGACAGCUGUGACACAGCCUUUCCAGGCCAUGAGAAUCCAGCCAAGGGCUUAAGCACUGAAACCCAAUGGAAAUUAGGAAGAGCAAGCCCCAUUGUUGGGCCUAACGCAUAGUAUGAAAAGCUCUGCUGCCAAUGCAGAGUGCAAACUAGGAAGGUUUCUGACAUCAGAAGAGUGAUGCAAGUGGCAGAUCCAUCUCCAUGGCCUGCACAUGACAGACCCUCUGAUGAGAAAGGUGACCCAGAGGAAAAAAAGGUG